AGACUUUUUCCACUUUCAGAGAGAUGUGGUCACUUCAACAUCCCGGUGCGUGACCGGCUUCUUUCCCUCAAGCACCGGUGGCGCUGUCCCAUCACGCGAGGUCCAUUUGGUCCUUUGGCAGCAGCUUCUGACAGCCACCCACAUCAGUUAUUCGUGUGUAGCCAACAACCUCAACGCUUAGUGGCUUUGAAAAGUAAGGAACAGGCGCGGGGGAGCAAGCAAGAGUUUAAAGAAUGGUGGAGACACGUCCAAGAAGACAGGAGCCAGCUCCCCACUGACCAACUUGUAGGCAAGCUGAUCAUCAAACAGACAGUGACAGUAAAAGCUUAUAAUCUACGGGGCAAAGUAAGAGGCCCUGAGUCCAAAGCAAUGGGGAAAAAAAUGAAUCCACGGAGAAGAUGCAGCAGCUCUCGCGAGAAUGCCAGCUCAGCGAGCACCUCGGGCCAGGUACCACCACCACCACCCCCUGAUCCAGACCCCAGCCAUGGGGGAGCGGACGUGAGCCAGUGAGGGCUCGAGGGGGAGGACAGCCUCUGCCUGGCCUCAGGCUGUGCCCCACUGACGCCUCAGGCACGUCUGUGCAGAGAGGAGAGAUGCAGCAGGCACCUCCUUAACCGCGCCCUCGACCUUGCCGCCAGGCUGAGGUCGGCGGUAAAGGGCCACACUCACAUCCUGUGCCUCGUGACACGGCGCCCAAAGAAGCCCUGAGCCGCGGCCACGACAACCCCCGAUCCUUCACCAGGUUCCCGGGAAUUGCAUCAACAGCCUUGUUGAGGCAGGACUCAGAACCCAUCAAGUUCCCCCUUUGAAAGCGGCUUUUCGCGCCUUCGCAGCUGCAUAUCCGUCUCAACGCGCAAGUUCCAGAACCUUCCCACCCCCAAGGAAACCCCGGGCCCUCGAGCAGCCUCCCCGUUUCCCCCUCUCCCGGCCUGGGGAGCCACUCUGCUGCCCCUGCCUCUGUGGAUGCCCAUGCGGGACGUUGGCAGAAGUGGAAUCACACACUCCGGGGCCUUCUGUGUCGCCUCCUCUCGCCGAGCAUCGAGCAUCGUGCAUUCAAGGUCCUGGCCACUUCGGUUCCUGGGAGAGCCCUCCUCCUGGCUUGCAGUUGGCUGGCUUCACACGGUGGAAGGAGAGACAAGGCCAGAAAGACGUGAGGGGAGAAAACUCAUGUCCUCUUCCAAGGGCCACCCUCCCAAAGGCCCCACAGUCUCACGCCACCACACACACGGUGCAGCUGGAGCUUCUACACAUGGCCGUGUGUGUGUGUGGGGGGGGGUACACAGCCCCGCAGCCCCCGCAGGCAUGGCACGCCUCUUCUCUCCACCCACUGGGAGGGGGGAGGACCCCCCCGCCCCCGCCCCUGCCCGCCCCUCAGUGCAUCAUCGUCCGAGAAAGCCUGAGGCAGGUGUCUGAGCUCCGGGUGGACCAGGGCUGGUGGGGUCCAGGCAUCUGAGCUCCAAGGAGGGGAUCAGAGAGUCCAGCCCACUUCCCCCCCGGGGAGGGGCCCACACCCUUGGCCUCAGCAGGCUGCCCCCCGCUCCCACCCCCCAGGAGCUGUCGUCUGAGCUGUGGUCUCAGUGCCUGUGAGCCUGGGGCUGAGAGCAGGCGCUGGGCUGACAACCUCCCAGGACCUCCCGGUCUACUUCCUGGGGCCCCAAGGUUCUAAGAGAAGGAGACAACCACAGCAGCAAGACGGCCGCUGCGUGCAGGGGCUGCAGGUGCUGGGCUUUCUGACUUAAGUCUUUGCACGGCUACCUCCCUCCUCCAUGGCGGGCAGAAUGGCCCCCACCAGCCACAGCAGGGAGCCCCAGCCUCUGCGUGAGGUCCUUCCCCGUGACACAGGAGCUCCCGUGUCCCCAGGCCUCUGUUCACAGAGGGACCCUAGGUGGGGCCCUGCCCUGUCGGCCUCAGCCACUGAAGCCCCCUCGCCUUCCCCUGCAGCUUCUGGCUUCUGGCACCUCCCGGGACCUUGCCUGGCCCCGUCCAGGGCCUCAACCGUCCUUGGGGGCUGUGCUUCCAGCAGAAGCCCCUGGGAACCUGGGGACCCCUGGCUUAGAACCCCAACACCCCAGUUGCAGCUGAUGGUACCCUGGGCUAGAGACGUCGGGGCCCGAGUCAGCCGGCUGGUGGGGUCCACGGUUAGGGAAGUCUCCCCCGUGGGGCUGGGGCUGGACUGUGAGAGCCACAGAGUCUCUUAGCACAAAGCCUCACUCAGAGACGUGACCCACCCCAGGAGGGCUUCUGGCUGCGCCUGCGUCCCGGGGACGCCCAGCUCCUCUGAGUUCCCAUCUGGAGAAGCUCAGGGCUGCCAAGAGGAUCCACUGUGUGUUCAGCCAGCACCUGACGUGGGCCCUGCCCCUCCUUAGACUAGACUAGAAGGCCUUGCAGCUGUGACUCCUCCCCCAGAGGGGCCCUGACUGAUGGAGGCUGGCAGCUGGCCCAGCACAUCUGGACGGCCCGCUGUCUGCAAGUUUCUAACUGGGACCCCCCUCUGUAAAACUCCUCGCUUUCCCCCAAAGCAGUAGUUACUGCAGGAGCUGUUUCUCAGCUUUAGCCAAUGCUGGGCUGCGUUUCUCUGGGAUGCCGCCUUUCUGAGGCACUUGGUUUGCGAGGACUGCGCCUGCAGAGACCCUCCGCUCAGCCGGACCCGUCAGGGCCUCCCAUAAGGAGGCCACCGGCUGCAAGUGGCCGGCAGCCCUGUGCCUGGUGAGGUGGGGCUGCAGGGCCUAGGACCGCGUGACGACCCCCAGGAGGAGGAGAACAUGAGGGUCUCAGCAUGGACUCUCGCGCAGAGGUGCUGGCAUCCUCUGCCACCGAACAGACCUGGUACAUGUCACAGGGACCCACUGUGCCGGCCAGCACACUGAGGCUGAUGCUCUCAGUCCUGCUCUGAUGACACCUGGCCCCACACUUGGGCCGGCCUGGGGAUGCCCGGUCCCUCUUGCCCUUCUGUGUGCUCUGCCC
rnacentral:lncRNA from 1 species